rnacentral:rRNA from 1 species
CCUACGGGGGGCAGCAGUGGGGAAUAUUGGACAAUGGGCGAAAGCCUGAUCCAGCCAUGCCGCGUGUGUGAAGAAGGCCUUCGGGUUGUAAAGCACUUUCAGUGGGGAAGAAAGCCUUGGGGCUAAUACCCUCGAGGAAGGACAUCACCCACAGAAGAAGCACCGGCUAACUCCGUGCCAGCAGCCGCGGUAAUACGGAGGGUGCGAGCGUUAAUCGGAAUUACUGGGCGUAAAGCGCGCGUAGGCGGUCUGAUAAGCCGGUUGUGAAAGCCCCGGGCUCAACCUGGGAACGGCAUCCGGAACUGUCGGGCUAGAGUGCAGGAGAGGAAGGUAGAAGGCCCGGUGGAGCGGUGAAAGGCGUAGAGAUCGGGAGGAAGACCAGUGGCGAAGGCGGCCUUCUGGACUUACACUGACGCUGAGGUGCGAAAGCGUGGGUAGCAAACAGGAUUAGAUACCCGAGUAGUC